rnacentral:lncRNA from 1 species
UUCAUUAAGAUGUGCAGAGCCAAUAGUAACGUGCCUGACUCUUUUCUAUCCCUCUAUUUCAAUUAAUUAGACAGGAAUUUUUGCAAUUUCUUUCCAUGUUAGUAACAGUUCGUCUUUCUCUUUUCCUAUUUCGUAGGUAAAAUCUCAAGUAUGGGAGCAUCAAGCAUAGAGUAAAGAAUGGAGAAGACUACAAUUUUUUUAUUUUUUAUUUACAGAUCCCUACCACAGCGCCAAAUCCUGCUGAAAUGGAAUCAUCACCCAGCAGAACCUUGAGCACUAAGGUGCCAUAUCACCCCCUUUAAGUAUUAUUUAUUUUUAUUUUUUUCACAAGACAAUAAAUGUCCCAUCUCUUCUCUCAACCCCUUUAAUCUUCAAAUUUCACACAUGAAUCUUUCACUAUAUUCUCCCAAACAUCAAACCCCAUAUCUUUCCACAAAUUCAUACACACCACAUCCAAUUUCAAUAAAAAAAUAGCAAAAUUUCAAAACUAAUCGUAAUUUCGAAAUCUUCACCUUUUAACUUAAAUUGCAUUCUCUCUAUUACAUACAUUGCAAAUCUUAGAACUCUUCACUAUAUUGCAAAACUAUCACAAGGUUUGCUUGGAAUUUGACAUUACAUCUCAUCUAAGGCAAUUUUUACUAGAUGGUAAGUUCAUCUCUUCCUUGAAAGCAUUUUGGACAUUUUUUGUUGUUGUUAGUUGAAUAGGAGAUUUGUAGGGUGUGAUUCAUCUAUGCUUUGGCUUAUAUUGGAGGCAUUAACACUUACAUUGUGAAUGGGUUGGCAUAGUGUCUACAAAGUGAUUGAGAGAUGGCUUAGGUGAAUUCCUGUGGGGUAUUUUGGUGGACUUUGGCAUUUCACUUGGUUUUAUUUGCAAUUGUGGUCUGAAUUUGGGGGUUGUUUGUUGAAGUCCUGUGCAGUAUGAAUUGGUUAGGUAGAUUAAUAUAGCAUAUCUUGGUGUUCUUAGUUGCUUGGAUUCACUUUGGCAAGAUUGUGACACUGAUUUUGAAUAAUACAAAAUGCCACCUAUGAAGAGGUCUAAUAUCACGGCAUCCUCUUCCACUGCUACAUAUGACGAGACUAUUUGUUCGCCUCGAGACAGAUGAAAGAUAUAAACAAAUGGUGAUCCAUUGGAAUUGUAUUCUGAAGAGGGGUUUGAAGAAACUUUUGGCCGAGAAAAUACAGAGUUUGGGAUUGAAAAGUUUGCAAGACAACCAGGAACAGCCUUGAUACCUUUGGUGAAAGAGUUUUAUGCGAAUACUAAGGAACACACACACUUCAAUGUAUUUGUGCAUGGUCAAUGGAUCCGAUUUGAUAGUGUUUCAAUAAACAAAUUAUACCAAACACAAGACAUACAUGAUGAUGAUUACUUUAGGAUCCAUGAGGUGGGGGCUAAGCUGGCCGUAUUAUUUUAUACACUCACUUGCGAGGGAAUGGAAUAAAAAAUGUCCACCAGCGAUGUGAAAACUUUCCUGCUUCCGGUUUGACAAUUAAAUGUAAAGCUUGGCAUCACUUUAUAUCAGCCAAAUUAGUUCCGAGCAGUAACAUUAUUGAAAUAACAAAGGAAUGGGCUCUAUGGAAUUAUGCAGUUGAGAGGGAUUACUCUAUUGAUAUUAGUAAGGUCAUUCAGAAUGGUAUCUUACGCAUCCUGGCGGGGUCAGCUACUGGUAGUUUGGGACACCCCCUCAUUGAUCCAUGAUGUUUGUGUACAGAGGUGUAUGAUCACGUAGGAAUCUGAUGAGGUGUUACAUCCUAAGCCAGCAUUCACAUUUGACUUUCGGGAUAAGUUCAGGGGUUGUCAGGAUAGGCCUAAUUCAUCAUGGUCAUCUCAGCCGUCCCUUACCUACAAAUGCUGAGGACGCUACAUGGGAUAUUAUUAGAAGGCUUGAGGCGAUGUACCUGCGGAUGACCAGAUGGCAGAAAGGAACGAAUUAGUGGUUGGAAGGAAUGCAAGUAUAAAUGAAUUAGCUGUUGAACUCCAUUUAUGACCAAUUCCAUUAUUAUAAUGUUUGCAUUGCAUUCCUGGCUUUCUGCACAUCCCCGAUAUUACCUUCUCUCAUCCAUCGUUGUUCCUAUCUCAGAGUUCCCGCACACCAGCUUCACCAGACGGUGGUGAGACAGCGAUGGUGAUGAAGACAUUUAGUGUCUUCAAAGAGGAAUUUCUCCAUCCUUUUUUAAUUGUAAAAUGUGAACAAUGUGUUAUUAAAGUCUGGGGUGAUAACUUUUCAUUGUCGAUUGUUUAACUGCUUUUGUGUGUUUCUCAUAUAAAAAUAAAUAAAUAAUUUUUUUUUGCAUACUCGUGUAUGUUGGAUAGCAUUGUUGGCG